UGCACCCAUUAGCGAAGAACUAAAAUGCUUCUUUUUUCUGUUGAAUUUACUAUUGUCUCAAACAUAUGUUCAAAAUCACAGGCACCAGUUGCAGCCAGCAAAAGCAAACUUACGAGUGAGCUGGUUCCUCCCGCGGAUUCACCAGUAAUAAAUUAUCCAAUGCUUUAGACCUAGCAAAGUGCUACAAAGAAAAGGUCGUGCACAUCACCUACAAGGAGGCCUACAAAGAAGCUUUUUGUUAAUGACGUUGAUAAGAAGGAUGGAGGGGCUGACUGUGCUGCAGCCAAAGCUAGGCUUAUUAGCUCCUGCAAGAUCACUGGAAUAGAUAGUUCAGAACAAAUAAGUGACAUUUUGCGUGGCAUUGAAGGAAGAGUGAUACUGCUUUGGUCAUGUCUUCUUCCACAUGUGCAGUGAGAUCUGUGGUGAGCUAUGUAAUUGACCCAAAAGGCACUUCAAGCGGGCAGGAAAGUCUAAGGCCCUUACUAAGUACUUCCAACUGAAGUUGGUGCAUAAGGCUGCAACACCGCCUAGUGGAGGGUGUUCUGGACAAAGAAAGCUUGUACCUUAAAACAGGAGGAUACAAGAAGCUGGAGUGGUUGUCUGAAGGCUUUUGAACUGCUUGAAGCAUUAGUGUAGCUUUGGUGCUUUUGUGACUGAUCAGCUCUGGAGCAGCUAGAGUGAUGUAGUUGUGGGCUUUUGAACAAUAGCUGGAGUGAUAUAAAACAUUAAUGAUGUAGUUGUGGGCUUUUGAACUGCUUCAAGCUGGAGUGAUGUCACUGUGGUGCUUUUGUGACUGAUCAUCUCUGGAGCUUUUGUGAAUGAUCUAGCUAGCUCUCUGUAAAUGAUCUAGUUGUGAAUGAUAUUAUAAUUGUGAUGCUUUUGUGAAUAUAUAAUUGUGGUGCUUUUGUGUUUAUGUGA